rnacentral:rRNA from 1 species
GACGAACGCUGGCGGCGUGCUUAACACAUGCAAGUCGAACGGAAAGGCCCUGCUUUUGUGGGGUGCUCGAGUGGCGAACGGGUGAGUAACACGUGAGUAACCUGCCCUUGACUUUGGGAUAACUUCAGGAAACUGGGGCUAAUACCGGAUAGGAGCUCCUGCUGCAUGGUGGGGGUUGGAAAGUUUCGGCGGUUGGGGAUGGACUCGCGGCUUAUCAGCUUGUUGGUGGGGUAGUGGCUUACCAAGGCUUCGAAGGGUAGCCGGCCUGAGAGGGUGACCGGCCACAUUGCGACUGAGAUACGGCCCAGACUCCUACGGGAGGCAGCAGUGGGGAAUAUUGCACAAUGGGCGGAAGCCUGAUGCAGCAACGCCGCGUGCGGGAUGACGGCCUUCGGGUUGUAAACCGCUUUCGCCUGUGACGAAGCGUGAGUGACGGUAAUGGGUAAAGAAGCCCCGGCUAACUACGUG